rnacentral:rRNA from 1 species
GACGAACGCUGGCGGCGUGCCUAAUACAUGCAAGUAGAACGCACAGUUUAUACCGUAGCUUGCUACACCAUAGACUGUGAGUUGCGAACGGGUGAGUAACGCGUAGGUAACCUGCCUGGGAGCGGGUGAUAACUAUUGGAAACGAUAGCUAAUACCGCAUAAUAUUGAUUAUUGCAUGAUAAUUGAGUGAAUGAUGCUAUUGCAUCACUACCAGAUGGACCUGCGUUGUAUUAGCUAGUAGGGGAGGUAACGGCUCACCCAUGGGACGAGACAUAGCCGACCUGGGAGGGGGGUCGGCCACACUGGGACGGGAGAACCGGCCAGGCUGCUACGGGAGGCAGGCGUAGGGAAUCUUCGGCAAUGGAGGGAAGUCUGACCGCGCAACGGCGGGUGAGGUGAGGAAGGUAUCCGGUCGGAAAGCUCAGUUGUCAGGGGAGGAAGAGUGUGGGAGUGAAAGAUGCACACUGUGACGGUACCUAACCAGAAAGCGACGGCUAACUACGUG